CGAGAGUAUCCGAAUUAACCAGGAAGUGAUUUUUGUUUACUUUUUAAAUGCCAACCUCUGUAAAUAGUAAUUUAUUUUGAGUAAACAUUGAGUGAGAAAUAAAGCCAUAGAAUACAUUCAUACCACUCAAAUUCAGCCAGUCAGAAUGAUGGGAAGGAUUGCAGAACUGAGUUUCACUCUCACCUGACUGAUGCAGAUUCAGUAACCUAAUUGCUCAUGAUGGUUUCUGAGAAAAAAACAGCUUGGUGUAAUUUGACAGUAUUUUUCAGUAUUUGACAGUGGUUCUAUCAUGCAACAGUCAUACCAUGAAGUGUCUCACAGAUUCUCUCUCAAUUCCUGCAAUAUCCAAGAUUACAGUAUAGUGCGAAGAGGAUUAAUUUUCUUGCAAUAAGAAGUAUCUGCACUUCCAAAUACCCCUGUACAGCAUGAACAGUUCCUUCAUUUUUUUGAGUGAUUAUAGAGUGAAAAUGUUUCCAUAUAAAAUGUUUUCUUUUUAUGUGUAAAACUUGUCAUGAAUGGUUACAAAUACAUGCAUGGACAUUAUGAUUCCAAAUCUAUGCACAUUUUGAUUCCAAUAAUUAAAGUAUUUUAAAUUUGGUUUGAAACAGAAAUAUUGUCCUUACGUUUGUUUCUAAACAUUAUCUGGUAUUAUUCGUGUUUAUAGUUUCCAUGUCAAUUUAAAAAAAAGUCGGUUCUUUUAAAGAUGCACUCUUACUCCCACAUAAGAUUUACCACAAUUAAUACUUUUGUUUUAUUAUUCCAAAAAAGAUGAAUAAAUGUUGAAAACAAUGGUUUAAUGAAGGAUGCCUACUUCUACUUCAAGGAAAUGUGCAUAAAAGACAAUAUUUCUACCAUUUGAGAUCAUAGUAGAUCACAGUAAAUCUGUAUGCAUUCACCAAUCAUUUAAUAUCUUUGCUUUUUCAGCUUAAAUACACGGUUACAAUAUUUUUAUCAAUACUUAAUAUUUUCCAAAAAUGAAUUAUUAAGUAAGUUGUUAAAGGGUUAACAGUCAAAGUAUAUGUUUGUUAUACAUGUGUAUGCAUUGAUACUGAAUAAGAGUGUCACUUUAAACAGUUA